CAAGCCAGAGACAGCAAAGACACUUGAUAUGAAGAGGGGAUUUAGAGAGAAAGGAGACAGAACUACAUCUAACUCCUAAUAAUGUCUUCGUGGGAAGUAGUGACACAGUUGUUCACAGUGAGGAACUGGUGCACAGGCUGACCAAAGCCAUUCCAUGUAAAGAGAAAAAUAAAGAGCAGGAGAAUAAAGAGCAGGAGAAGAGAGCAGGAAGAGAUGAGGCGUCCGCCAGUCUCCCAAACAGAGGAAGGACAGGGAAAAAGUGAAGUCAAUAAUAGUUUAUAUUCAGCCAAGGCAAUAUUAGCAUCCAUCCUCCAUCUCCAUCCAGCUUCUCUUUUCUUCAGCCACAGUGACUGUCGGAACUGACCGUAACUUAACCGAUCUGUGGAGCGGUGAGCAUUAGACACCAGCAUGUCUGCCAUCGAGAGUCAACAUGCCGCCAGGGGUGAAAGGUCACAUCUGAGCAUAGGGAUGGGAAACCGCUCCAGCGAAAGGAAGGGGGAUAAAGAAAAGACCAAUGCAGGGUGGUUAAGUAUUCACUGGCAACAUAAAAUGAGAAGCAGUGGUUAAGGGCACAGAGAGGGGGAUUCUAAGUGGAGGUUUAGGCUUUGUGUAUGUUCAUAUUUCCUCUAUGAAUUUGGCCUGCUGUCUGAGUCAAAUCACAGUUAAUUCUUUGGAGAAAUCCACCCUCUUGUUUAGAUCCAAAUUCCACAACCUCAUUCACUUUUUAUGGAAUUUCUCUAUGAGUAGUUGAAAAUGUGACAGCAAUCUAAGUCAUGGGGUACAACGUAGGAGCUGUGUAUGGAGUCAAACUGAACUCACUGGAAUGCAAACAUAAAAACACAUAAAUAAAGACAAAUACGAUGUAAUGAAAUAUCUAAACCAUGAAUAUGAACCCAAAACUGUAAGCAGGAAAAUUUAUACCAUAAAAUAAAUCCAUAAGUUCUAAAGUU